rnacentral:rRNA from 1 species
UACGGGGGCGGCAAGCGUUGUUCGGAAUUACUGGGCGUAAAGGGCGCGUAGGCGGGUGGACAAGUCUCUCGUGAAAGCCCACGGCUCAACCGUGGAAUUGUGGGAGAUACUGUCUGUCUUGAGUCCGGGAGAGGAGGGUGGAAUUCCCAGUGUAGCGGUGAAAUGCGUAGAUAUUGGGAGGAACACAGGUGGCGAAGGCGGCUCUCUGGACCGGUACUGACGCUGAGGCGCGAAAGCUAGGGUAGCAAACGGG